rnacentral:rRNA from 1 species
AUUGAACGCUGGCGGAAUGCUUUACACAUGCAAGUCGAGCGGCAGCACGGGGGCAACCCUGGUGGCGAGCGGCGAACGGGUGAGUAAUACAUCGGAGCAUGCCCAGUCGUGGGGGAUAACACUUCGAAAGAAGUGCUAAUACCGCAUACGUCCUGAGGGAGAAAGCGGGGGAUCGCAAGACCUCGCGCGAUUGGAGUGGCCGAUGUCAGAUUAGCUAGUUGGUGGGGUAAAGGCCUACCAAGGCAACGAUCUGUAGCUGGUCUGAGAGGAUGAUCAGCCACACUGGGACUGAGACACGGCCCAGACUCCUACGGGAGGCAGCAGUGGGGAAUUUUGGACAAUGGGGGCAACCCUGAUCCAGCCAGUCCGCGUGAGUGAAGAAGGCCUUCGGGUUGUAAAGCUCUUUCGGCAGGAACGAAACGGCGAGCUCUAACAUAGCUUGCUAAUGACGGUACCUGAAGAAGAAGCACCGGCUAACUACGUG